rnacentral:rRNA from 1 species
GACGAACCGUGCGAACGUUGUUCGGAAUCACUGGGCUUAAAGGGCGCGUAGGCGGGCAGGCAAGGCGAAGGUGAAAUCCCACGGCUCAACCGUGGAAGUGCCCCCGAUACUGCUUGUCUUGAGGGAGAUAGGGGCGUGCGGAACUUCCGGUGGAGCGGUGAAAUGCGUAGAUAUCGGAAGGAACACCGGUGGCGAAAGCGGCGCGCUGGAUCUCUACUGACGCUGAGGCGCGAAAGCCAGGGGAGCAAACGGG